UACGAAGGGGGCUAGCGUUGCUCGGAAUCACUGGGCGUAAAGGGUGCGUAGGCGGUCUAUUAAGUCAGCGGUGAAAUACUCCAGCUUAACUGGAGGGGUGCCAUUGAUACUGAUGGACUUGAGUCAAGUCGAGGUAGGCGGAAUUGACGGUGUAGCGGUGAAAUGCUUAGAUAUCGUCAAGAACACCAAUAGUGAAGACAGCUUACUGGGCUUAAACUGACGCUGAGGCACGAAAGUGUGGGGAUCAAACAGG
rnacentral:rRNA from 1 species